GAUGAACGCUGGCGGCGUGCCUAAUACAUGCAAGUCGAGCGAACGGACGAGAAGCUUGCUUCUCUGAUUUUAGCGGCGGACGGGUGAGUAACACGUGGAUAACCUACCUAUAAGACUGGGAUAACUUCGGGAAACCGGAGCUAAUACCGGAUGAUAUUUUGAACCGCAUGGUUCAAAAGUGAAAGACGGUCUUGCUGUCACUUAUAGAUGGAUCCGCGCUGCAUUAGCUAGUUGGUAAGGUAACGGCUUACCAAGGCAACGAUGCAUAGCCGACCUGAGAGGGUGAUCGGCCACACUGGAACUGAGACACGGUCCAGACUCCUACGGGAGGCAGCAGUAGGGAAUCUUCCGCAAUGGGCGAAAGCCUGACGGAGCAACGCCGCGUGAGUGAUGAAGGUCUUCGGAUCGUAAAACUCUGUUAUUAGGGAAGAACAUAUGUGUAAGUAACUGUGCACAUCUUGACGGUACCUACUCAGAAAGCCACGGCUAACUACGUG
rnacentral:rRNA from 1 species